rnacentral:tRNA from 1 species
AAGGUCCUGGCUUAAUGAGAGCAUUUGAGUUGCAUUCAAAGGGUGCAGGUUAAUGUCCUGCGGAUCUUA